rnacentral:rRNA from 1 species
GUGAACGCUGGCGGUAGGCCUAACACAUGCAAGUCGAACGGCAGCACAGUAAGAGCUUGCUCUUACGGGUGGCGAGUGGCGGACGGGUGAGGAAUACAUCGGAAUCUACUUUUUCGUGGGGGAUAACGUAGGGAAACUUACGCUAAUACCGCAUACGACCUACGGGUGAAAGCAGGGGAUCUUCGGACCUUGCGCGAUUGAAUGAGCCGAUGUCGGAUUAGCUAGUUGGCGGGGUAAAGGCCCACCAAGGCGACGAUCCGUAGCUGGUCUGAGAGGAUGAUCAGCCACACUGGAACUGAGACACGGUCCAGACUCCUACGGGAGGCAGCAGUGGGGAAUAUUGGACAAUGGGCGCAAGCCUGAUCCAGCCAUACCGCGUGGGUGAAGAAGGCCUUCGGGUUGUAAAGCCCUUUUGUUGGGUAAGAAAAGCAGCAGGUUAAUACCCCGCUGUUCUGACGGUACCCAAAGAAUAAGCACCGGCUAACUUCGUG